rnacentral:rRNA from 1 species
GACGAACGCUGGCGGCGUGCUUAACACAUGCAAGUCGAACGGUGAAGCGCCUUCCUUUUUGGUGGGUGUGGAUGAGUGGCGAACGGGUGAGUAACACGUGAGUAACCUGCCCCCUUCUUCUGGAUAACCGCAUGAAAGUGUGGCUAAUACGGGAUAUUCUGGGUCUGUCGCAUGUUGGGUCUGGGAAAGAUAUUGUUUCGGUGGGGGAUGGGCUCGCGGCCUAGCAGCUUGUUGGUGGGGUGAUGGCCUACCAAGGCGGUGACGGGUAGCCGGCCUGAGAGGGUGGACGGUCACACUGGGACUGAGACACGGCCCAGACUCCUACGAGAGGCAGCAGUGGGGAAUAUUGCACGAUGGGCGCAAGCCUGAUGCAGCGACGCCGCGUGAGGGAUGGAGGCCUUCGGGUUGUGAACCUCUUUCGCCAGUGAAGCAGGCCUGCCUCGUUUGUGGGUGGGUUGACGGUAGCUGGAUAAGAAGCGCCGGCUAACUACGUG